UUUAGUAGAAUCUAUGGUUUUAAGGUCAUAGUAGUUUUACGAUCGUAUACUUGAAGUUCUGGUCCGAUUCAGGAUCACUAUUUUAACAACCUUGUGUGGUUAAUUUGCAGGAUCGUGAUAGCUAUUGCAAGAUGAUGCACAAGUACAUAGGAUCAGAUGUUACAUCACUUGUGACACUUCCAGUCAUAAUUUUUGAGCCAAUGACAAUGCUUCAGAAAAUGGCUGAGCUUUGUUAGGUGUUCCAUUUUAGUUAUCUGUCUACUUCCUUUAAACUGGUUCUGGUUAUAUGUGCGCGUAUCUAUUAUUAUGUAUAAGCAUUGUUGCUACUGGUCCUUAUCGAGAAUCGCAUAAGGAGACAACUUCAUGGGCUAGGAGGCUUAACUGACAGUUUCGACCUUGGGAUGAACAUGUUGUUGGGAGGAUACAAGGAAGAUGAUGGCGGUUCAAGCAAGUCGCAUGGCAAGAGCGGAAACCGAAAGAAGCACCUGAAGAACAGCAAGAAGAGGAAGAGGCAUUAGCCCUGGACUCACACUCCUGUAUCACUUCAACAUACUUGAGUGUGUGACAUGUCAGUUAUUUUACAGAUAUGUUAGUUUUACCAUAGUAUUGUUCGAUGUGAUCCUAGCAUGCCCGUGAAUGCUUUGGUUCCCUAUAGAGCUGUUGAUGUCUUUACAUAUUCUUAAGGUCCUUACCAUGUCAAUCACAUGGACUGGUGUGAGUAUAGCUUGUUCCUCAACCAACACUAUAUUAUUAGUUGUGAUUAUACAUAUAAUAUUGUUGCCAGGAUGCUGCCUCCCUUGCAGUAGCAAUCAUGAAAAAGGGACUGCGGAGUCGAAUAUUUCUGGGCUGUGACAACAAGCCCCUUUCCAGGCAAGAAAUUAUGGAUGUUGUUAACAAUAGUGGAAAAUUUGACACGAAGUUUGGAGGCUUUACCGGUUAGUCUU